rnacentral:rRNA from 1 species
ACGUAACUCCUACGGGAGGCAGCAGUGGGGAAUUUUGGACAAUGGGCGAAAGCCUGAUCCAGCAAUGCCGCGUGAGUGAAGAAGGCCUUCGGGUUGUAAAGCUCUUUUGUCAGGGAAGAAACGGUGAAAGCUAAUAUCUUUUGCUAAUGACGGUACCUGAAGAAUAAGCACCGGCUAACUACGUGCCAGCAGCCGCGGUAAUACGUAGGGUGCAAGCGUUGAUCGGAAUUACUGGGCGUAAAGCGUGCGCAGGCGGUUUUGUAAGUCUGAUGUGAAAUCCCCGGGCUCAACCUGGGAAUUGCAUUGGAGACUGCAAGGCUAGAAUCUGGCAGAGGGGGGUAGAAUUCCACGUGUAGCAGUGAAAUGCGUAGAUAUGUGGAGGAACACCGAUGGCGAAGGCAGCCCCCUGGGUCAAGAUUGACGCUCAUGCACGAAAGCGUGGGGAGCAAACAGGAUUAGAUACCCCAGUAGUCCCAUGA